rfam:Beauveria bassiana D1-5 contig00284, whole genome shotgun sequence.
GGGCGAAUGGUUUAGUGGUAUAAUACUCCCUUAGCAUCUGUUCCCGUCUCCUCGAGAUUAGAACAAUUGUUACUUGGGAGUGGUCCGGGGUUCGAUUCCCCGUUUGUCCA